CGAAAGCCUGACGGAGCAAUACCGCGUGAGGGAGGAAGGCUCUUGGGUUGUAAACCUCUUUUCUCAGGGAAUAAAAAAAUGAAGGUACCUGAGGAAUAAGCAUCGGCUAACUCCGUGCCAGCAGCCGCGGUAAUACGGAGGAUGCAAGCGUUAUCCGGAAUGAUUGGGCGUAAAGGGUCCGCAGGUGGCAAUGUGUGUCUGCUGUCAAAGAAUGAGGCUUAACCUCAUCAAGGCAGUGGAAACUACAUAGCUAGAGUACGGUCGGGGUAGAAGGAAUUCCUGGUGUAGCGGUGAAAUGCGUAGAGAUCAGGAAGAACACCGGUGGCGAAAGCGCUCUACUGGGCCAAAACUGACACUGAGGGACGAAAGCUAGGGGAGCG
rnacentral:rRNA from 1 species